rnacentral:rRNA from 1 species
GAUGAACGCUGACAGCAUGCUUAACACAUGCCAGUCUUUGGCGAAGCUGUGCUUGCACAGCCUAGCCAAGGCGGACGGGUGAGUAACGCGUAAGGAACUUGCCCUGCAGUCAGGGAUAACAGACGGAAACGACUGAUAAGACCUGGUAAAGUCAGGCGGACUCAUGUCCAGCCUGAUGAAAAGAGAUGCUGCAGGAGAGCCUUGCGUCCUAUUAGCUUGUUGGUGGGGUAACGGCCCACCAAGGCGAUGAUAGGUAGCCGGCCUGAGAGGGUGGACGGCCACAAGGGGACUGAGAUACGGCGCCUACUCCUACGGGAGGCAGCAGUGGGGAAUAUUGGAGAAUGGGGGCAACACUGAUCCAGCAAUUCGGUGUGCACGAUGAAGGGUUUCGGAUUGUAAAGUGCUUUCUGCAGGGAAGAAAAAAUGACGGUACCUGCAGAAGAAGCGACGGCUAAAUACGUG